rnacentral:rRNA from 1 species
GAUGAACGCUGGCGGCGUGCCUAAUACAUGCAAGUCGAGCGAACAGACGAGGGGCUUGCUCCUCUGACGUUAGCGGCGGACGGGUGAGUAACACGUGGAUAACCUACCUAUAAGACUGGGAUAACUUCGGGAAACCGGAGCUAAUACCGGAUAAUAUAUUGAACCGCAUGGUUCAAUAGUGAAAGACGGUUUUGCUGUCACUUAUAGAUGGAUCCGCGCCGCAUUAGCUAGUUGGUAAGGUAACGGCUUACCAAGGCAACGAUGCGUAGCCGACCUGAGAGGGUGAUCGGCCAAACUGGAACUGAGGAACGGUCCAGACUCCUACGGGAGGCAGCAGUAGGGAAUCUUCGGAAAUGGGCGAAAGCCUGACGGAGCAACGCCGCGUGAGUGAUGAAGGUCUUCGGAUCGUAAAACUCUGUUAUUAGGGAAGAACAAAUGUGUAAGUAACUAUGCACGUCUUGACGGUACCUAAUCAGAAAGCCACGGCUAACUACGUG